CCACAGCAAAAGGCACUCAGUUCAACACCAACGAUAGCAAGGGCGAGUUGAUGAAAAUGACAACAACAACAUGGACGGCGAUGAACUCCACCAUCAUCAACAUUUUUUUUUUACUGGUACUCAACCGAAUCGCUGUCUAAUAUUGUCGAAGACUUGUUCGACGAUCGCCGUCGCGUCCAAUAGUGAGUGUAUCCGCGUGCUUCAUCAUAUUGCUGGACAGUCGUACGCCACGGUGGCCAUUGCAGCUAUUCCUCUACCAGGUCCCACACCAUCAGUGAGGCGUCUGUGCCGCCCACUGUCACCACAGUUUGAUCGCCGUAUAGAAAACGCGCACAUGCCAACAUGCCCGAAUAGACUUUCGCUUCAUGAAACUCGGAGCGCGGAUUGAUGCAGGGCAUUACCUGAAAAUACGCAAGUAACCAUCGGCAUCGCCGGAAACAAGCAUAUCUUGCGCCGCCGAACGGCUGCAUGUUGCAAUAAUAGUAUUAUUGUUGCUGUAGUAACGAUUGCUCCACAUACCCGCCACCAGAAAGCCAACUGUGCAAUUGCUAGUCAACCAUUUGACAUCUUUCAUGGCGAUCGGGCUGCGUUCCGGCGACAGUGAUUUAGCAUCCCAGAAGAGUAGAUCGAAAUCGAUGGUGACAGUUUGCACGAAAUUGCCAUCCAUGCUCCAGUCCAAAUGUGUGAGUGGCUGCGAACCGCGUAUCUUGUUCACUUUUUUGUAUGAGAAACCAUCGCGCGAUACACGGAAUAAGUAGAUGCUGCCAUUUUGUGAACCCAUAGCAAUCAUAUCACCCACUAGGAGACGCACUCACCUUGAUUAUAGGCCACACAGUUCAGCGGCGAACCACAGACCCGCAACGUUAACAUAACCGAACCGUUUUCACAAUUGAUGACAAGUAAAUGGCCCUCAGUGCUGCCAGCAGCCAGGGCAGUGCCAAAUGGAUGAAAAGCUAAUGAAACACACUCGUAACCUGUUUGUAUGGUCCAAAUCAACUUGUUCUUGCGCCACAGCGCAAUGUGCUUAUCAUGACCGGCAGUAGCGAAUACCUCAUCCUCUGGAUGAGCAGCUAGACCCCACAAUUGACGACCGUGACCGAAUACAACUUGGGUAAAGCGACGCUGCAGUGAACCCUCUAAAAUGUUAUUGCGCGUAGUGCCAACAUAAAUAUUACCAUCAUUGCGUCCGGGACGUUGUGGAUAAAUGGUGCGUACGCCGCCAGCGGCCUCUGGAAGCUACAAAUAAAAUACAUUAAAAGAAAAACCAAUUAGCUUGCGAGUAAGCGCGCUUACUUUAGUAUCAGCGAUUUUCUUGUAGUUUUGCAACGAGUCCCAGGCAGCAAUUUUACGAUCUUUCUCACCACCUGACAGUAGCGUUCCUUCGCCCAGCAUAAUUAGGCAACCAAUACCUUUGUUAUGUGCCUCGAAUUCGGUGCGCACAAAGUAUGCACCAUCCGAGUCGACCGAGUAAAUGGUGAUAAAACCAUCGGAAUCGGCAGUGAUAACGUCGCCGUCUGGCUCGAAUUGCACGCUGGUCACAUGCGAGCGCGACGGUUGUUUAACAAUAUCGGUGCGUUCGAAAAAGCCAUCUUUGCGGCGAUGCCAGAACGCCAAAUGACCACGCCCAUGUGUAAUAAUAAGAUUAUCAUCCAGCGGAUGAAAAGCGGCACCAGACAGACCUUCUUGUAGUGUCUAAGAUUAAUAAAAUAUAUUCAAAACUUUUAGAUGCGUAAUAUACGAACAAGAACCUACUGCCACUUUUCCCAGCAGAUGACCCCAUUGCCACUGCCACACAGAGAGUAUGCUUUCACGCCCGCUAUCAACUGCUAAAAUGUAGCUGCCCCCGUUCUGCGGUUGUAUAGAAGGAAGAAGAAACAAUAGAACACGAGUUAAUAAGAAUGGCGUUUUGGGUAUGGCAUCAUUUUGUACCAAUUGUGAAAAGGCUACCGCCGUAACGCCACUAUCCAAUUCGCCCAUACCGAACACAUAAAGCGUCUGUAGUGACUCUGUGCUCCAAAUGCGUACAUGCGCUUGAGAUUUACGAUCACGCCCAGCUUUUUGCCCAGAAGCGACUAAUUCGCGUGAAGGAUGUACGUCCAUGCUGUAGGCGAAUGUCGCUGUGCGUCCUCUUCUCGAUCCAACAGUACUGCCACAGCGGCUACAUAAUACAACAGCUCACCUGAUGGUAACACCCAGAGAUUGCGGCGCGCAUCGAUGCCGCGAUAGCCGUGACUGCCAGUGAAAAA